rnacentral:tRNA from 1 species
GAGGGUGUAGCUCAGUGGUAGAGUACGUGAGUAGCAUGCACGAGGUCCUGGGUUCAAUCCUCAGUACCUCCA